rnacentral:rRNA from 2 species
CAGGCGGCGGACGUGNUGAGUAAUGCCUAGGAAUCUGCCUGNUAGUGGGGGACAACGUUUCGAAAGGAACGCUAAUACCGCAUACGUCCUACGGGAGAAAGCAGGGGACCUUCGGGCCUUGCGCUAUCAGAUGAGCCUAGGUCGGAUUAGCUAGUAGGUGAGGUAAUGGCUCACCUAGGCGACGAUCCGUAACUGGUCUGAGAGGAUGAUCAGUCACACUGGAACCUGAGACACGGUCCAGACUCCUACGGGAGGCAGCAGUGGGGAAUAUUGGACAAUGGGCGAAAGCCUGAUCCAGCCAUGCCGCGUGUGUGAAGAAGGUCUUCGGAUUGUAAAGCACUUUAAGUNGGGAGGAAGGGCAGUAAGUUAAUACCUUGCUGUUUGGACGUUACCAACAGAAUAA